UAGGGAAUCUUCGGCAAUGGACGAAAGUCUGACCGAGCAACGCCGCGUGAGUGAAGAAGGUUUUCGGAUCGUAAAACUCUGUUGUUAGAGAAGAACAAGGACGUUAGUAACUGAACGUCCCCUGACGGUAUCUAACUAGAAAGCUACGGCUAACUACGUGCCAGCAGCCGCGGUAAUACGUAGGUGGCAAGCGUUGUCCGGUUUUAUUGGGCGUAAAGCGAGCGCAGGCGGUUUCUUAAGUCUGAUGUGAAAGACCCCGGCUCAACCGGGGAGGGUCAUAGGAAACUGGGAGACUUGAGUGCAGAAGAGGGUAGUGGAAUUCGAUGUGUAGCGGUGAAAUGCGUAGAUAUAUGGAGGAACACCAGUGGCGAAGGCGGAUCUCUGAUCUGUAACUAACGCUGAGGCUCGAAAACGUGGGGAGCAAACAGG
rnacentral:rRNA from 1 species